rnacentral:lncRNA from 1 species
AUGGAAAAGAAAUGCAAAAAAGCAAAAUGGCUGUGUGGGGAGGCCCUACAAAUAGCUGUGAAAAGAAGAGAGGCGAAAAGCGAAGGAGAAAAGGAAAGAUAUAAGCAUCUGAAUGCAGAGUUCCAAAGAAUAGCAAGAAGGGAUAAGAAAGCCUUCUUCAGUGGUCAAUGCAAAGAAAUAGAGGAAAAGAACAGAAUGGGAAAGACUAGAGAUCUCUUCAAGAAAAUUAGAGAUAUCAAGGGAACAUUUCAUGCAAAGAUGGGCUCGAUAAAGGACAGAAAUGGUCUGGACCUAACAGAAGCAGAAGAUAUUAAGAAGAGAUGGCAAGAAUACACAGAACUGUACAAAAAUGAUCUCCACGACCCAGAUAAUCACGAUGGUGUGAUCACUCAUCUAGAGCCAGACAUCCUGGAAUGUGAAGUCAAGUGGGCCUUAGAAAGCAUCACUACGAACAAAGCUAGUGGAGGUGAUGGAAUUCCAGUAGAGUUAUUUCAAAUCCUGAAAGAUGAAGCUGUGAAAGUGCUGUACUCAAUAUGCCAGCCAAUUUGGAAAACUCAGCAGUGGCCACAGGACUGGAAAAGGUCAGUUUUCAUUCCAAUCCCAAAGAAAGGCAAUGCCAAAGAAUGCUCAAACUACCACACAAUUGCACUUAUCUCACACGCUAGUCAAGUAAUGCUCAAAAUUCUCCAAGCCAGGCUUCAACAAUAUGCGAACCGUGAACUCCCUGAUGUUCAAGCUGGAUUUAGAAAGGGCAGAGGAACCAGAGAUCAAAUUGCCAACAUCUGCUGGAUCAUCGAAAAAGCAAGAGAGUUCCAGAAAAACAUCUAUUUCUGCUUUAUUGACUAUGCCAAAGCCUUUGACUGUGUGGGUCACAAUAAACUAUGGAAAAUUCUGAGAGAGAUGGGAAUACCAGACCACCUGACCUGUCUCUUGAGAAAUCUGUAUGCAGGUCAGGAAGCAACAGUUAGAACUGGGCAUGGAACAACAGACUGGUUCCAAAUAGGAAAAGGAGUACGUCAUGGCUAUAUAUUGUCACCCUGCUUAUUUAACUUCUAUGCAGAGUACAUCAUGAGAAUCGCUGGACUGGAAGAAACACAAGCUGGAAUCAAGAUUGCUGGGAGAAAUAUCAACAACCUCAGAUAUGCAGAUGACACCACCCUUCUGGCAGAAAGUGAAGAGGAACUCCAAAGCCUCUUGAUGAAAGUGAAAGAGGAGAGUGAACAAGUUGGCUUAAAGCUCAACAUUCAGAAAACGAAGAUCAUGGCAUCCGGUCCCAUCACUUCAUGGGAAAUAGAUGGGGAAACAGUGGAAACAGUGUCAAACUUUAUUUUUUGGGGCUCCAAAAUGACUGCAGAUGGUGACUGCAGCCAUGAAACUAAAAGACGCUUACUCCUUGGAAGAAAAGUUUUGACCAACCUAGAUAGUAUAUUGAAAAGCAGAGACAUUACUUUGCUGACUAAGGUCAGUCUAGUCAAGGCUAUGGUUUUUCCAGUGGUCAUGUAUGGAUGUGAGAGUUGGACUGUGAAGAAAGCUGAGCGCUGA